CCUACGGGGGGCUGCAGUAGGGAAUAUUGCUCAAUGGGGGAAACCCUGAAGCAGCAACGCCGCGUGGAGGAUGAAGGUUUUAGGAUUGUAAACUCCUUUUGUUAGAGAAGAUUAUGACGGUAUCUAACGAAUAAGCACCGUCUAACUCCGUGCCAGCAGCCGCGGUAAUACGGAGGGUGCAAGCGUUACACGGAAUCACUGGGCGUAAAGAGUGCGUAGGCGGGGUAAUAAGUCAGAUGUGAAAUCCUGUAGCUUAACUACAGAACUGCAUUUGAAACUGUUACUCUGGAGUGUGGGAGAGGUAGGUGGAAUUCGUGGUGUAGGGGUAAAAUGCGUAGAGAUCAAGAGGAACACUCAUUGCGAAGGCGACCUGCUGGAACAUUACUGACGCUGAUGCACGAAAGCGUGGGGAGCAAACAGGAUUAGAUACCCGGGUAGUC
rnacentral:rRNA from 1 species